rnacentral:rRNA from 2 species
UAGGGAAUCUUCGGCAAUGGACGAAAGUCUGACCGAGCAACGCCGCGUGAGUGAAGAAGGUUUUCGGAUCGUAAAACUCUGUUGUUAGAGAAGAACAAGGACGUUAGUAACUGAACGUCCCCUGACGGUAUCUAACCAGAAAGCCACGGCUAACUACGUGCCAGCAGCCGCGGUAAUACGUAGGUGGCAAGCGUUGUCCGGAUUUAUUGGGCGUAAAGCGAGCGCAGGCGGUUUCUUAAGUCUGAUGUGAAAGCCCCCGGCUCAACCGGGGAGGGUCAUUGGAAACUGGGAGACUUGAGUGCAGAAGAGGAGAGUGGAAUUCCAUGUGUAGCGGGGAAAUGCGUAGAUAUAUGGAGGAACACCAGUGGCGAAGGCGGCUCUCUGGUCUGUAACUGACGCUGAGGCUCGAAAGCGUGGGGAGCAAACAGG